rnacentral:rRNA from 1 species
CAGCCGCCGCGGGAAUACGUAGGGUGCGAGCGUUAAUCGGAAUUACUGGGCGUAAAGCGUGCGCAGGCGGUUGUGUAAGACAGGUGUGAAAUCCCCGGGCUUAACCUGGGAACUGCGCUUGUGACUGCACAGCUAGAGUAUGGCAGAGGGGGGUGGAAUUCCACGUGUAGCAGUGAAAUGCGUAGAGAUGUGGAGGAACACCGAUGGCGAAGGCAGCCCCCUGGGCCAAUACUGACGCUCAUGCACGAAAGCGUGGGGAGCAACAGGAUUAGAUACCCGUGUAGUCCCUGUCUCUUAUACA